UACGGAGGGGGCUAGCGUUGUUCGGAAUUACUGGGCGUAAAGCGCGUGUAGGCGGCCAGGUAGGUCCGCUGUGAAAACCCGAGGCUCAACCUCGGGACGUCGGCGGAAACCAUUUGGCUAGAGUCCGGAAGAGGAGAGUGGAAUUCCCGGUGUAGCGGUGAAAUGCGUAGAGAUCAGGAAGAACACCGGUGGCGAAGGCGCUCUGCUAGGCCGCAACUGACACUGAGGGACGAAAGCUAGGGGAGCGAAUGGG
rnacentral:rRNA from 1 species